rnacentral:lncRNA from 1 species
GUCAGUGGUAAGUUAGUAGAUCUGUAACUCAGAGUCGGAAGAGCAGACCUCCCCAAUCCUUAUCAUCGUCUCUCUGAUUUUCCCCAGGAUGGGCUCCCUCUGGGGUUGAGCAGUUCCCUGACUGCCGGCAUGGAGCCCAGUGCCCCCAUCCUUGGUGGUAUCUGCUGUUGCCAGCUCCCUUCACCCAGAACUGCCCCCAGACAACCGUAACACAGCUGGAGAGCAAACAGUAGGAGAAGAAGGAACAGGGGAUCUUCCAGCUUAAAGAAGGAGGAAGACUCUGGAAUGGCAGGAGGCAGACAUGUACUUCCCAGGGACAGCACUUGAGGAAGCUGGGCUCCCCACGUGCCAGCCAGCCCCCUGUACACCCACAGCCCGUCUUCCCAUCCCACCUGGAUGUGCAGACACCUGUAUCCUCCCCGUCGGAGGGCCCUGUCAGGCUUUACUGGGCGCAUUGACAAAAGAUUUUUCAAGCCCAGUCACGCAAGCCAGUAGCGAGGAGGCACACGGGCCCAGCCGCAGCGCUCACGUGCAAGGACCACCGUGCCAAAGGACCAACGGAUGCUUAUGUGCGGCUACCUCAGCGAUGUAACAGCCCCGAGCUCCUCAAACUUGUCCGCCACAGACCACCUUCCCGCAGCCACCUUGCAAGUCGCAAGCUGCACAGUCCUCAGGCCUUUUGGACACGGGGACCCCUAUUUUCACUUUGCACCAAGUUACGCAGGCCAGGCUGGCCAGACAGGAGAUGCACUCGCUGGGGGCCGGAUUGUGGCCCUUGCACCCGCCCGGGCCCUGGAAUCUGAGUUUGAGAAGCCUGGCUGCAGCAAAGGAAAACACAAAUAUUUCAGAGAGAUGCUCAGACUAAAAAUAAAUAAAUAAAUAAAUAAAUAAAUAAAUAAAUAAAUAAAUAAAUAAAUAAAAUUUAAUCAUUGUUGAUCUGAAAUGCAAACGCGACCGGGCAUUCUGUGUUUUUUUCCCUGGCCGCCUUACUGUCGCCACCGCAUCCUUUGCUUGCCCCAGGAAACGACACCACAUGGGAGGUGUGAUGGAGUGUGGGCUGCGUGCUGCAUGCCGCGGUUAGUCUUCUGGGCCGCCCGACUCACUGCAAGCUGUCCACGCACGUACACGGCUGGAAGCCACGUACAUUUGAAAAGGAACAUAAGCCACGUGCUCCAGCGCCGCUCAAACUUGAUGCAUCAAUACGUUAUUUUGUCUGUUGAUCUUUGUGCAAAUGUUCAGAGCUAUUCGGCUUGCAAAAUAAACACAAACUUGGGGGCACCUGGGAGGCUCCGUAGUUGAGCAUCUGCCUUUGGCUCAGGGCAUGAUCCCGGGGUCCCGGGAUCGAGUCCCCCAUCGGGCUCCCUGCAGGGAGCCUGCUUCUCCCUCUGCCUGUGUCUCUGCCUCUCUGUGUGUUUCUCAUGAAUAAAUAAAUAAAAUCUUUUAAAAAACACACACAAACUCUUAUCUAUUUGGUGGUGCAAAGUAUUUAAUCUAAUUUCCUAAAGAAAUGAAUACAUAACUUUCCUUUCUAUCAUUUUGAGGAAGCUCUGCACAGGUAACCUGCAGGUGCACAGUAGCAGGUGUGCUGUGACUGCGCCGGGCCUCCCGGGUAGCCCUGGGGAGAGGGAGCCCACGCCCCUGCCCUUGCGAGUGGACCCCGGCAUGGCCCUACUCCCCGAACCUGUGGUCAGGGCUUCCUGUGUGCGGCUCCGGCUUCUCCUCUGGUCUUUGCUCCUUCCACCUCCCUGAGUCACCCUGAGGCCACCCCAUAACCACACGAGCGUGCCUCCCCCAUGAAGUGUAACUUAAAUACUAGUAUUACCUACCUGAAUUGUGCAUUUCUCAUGAUAAUGCCCGCAAGUCAUUUGAUAUUUUGCAUAUUUCUUUCUUCAUUUUAAGAGGAUUAUUGCAGUUAACAUGAUUUUAUAGGAUAAUCGGAUGGGUUUAGUUAUGUGUUAGGGAGCUGAAUUGGAUAAGUUUGUUCUGUUUAAAUAUCAGUAAAGAGGUACAAAUAUUUAGAGAGACAUCGAUGGUUUAAUAUUUAAAGAAUAUUAUUUAUUUUUUAAAAGAUUUUAUUUAUUUAUUUGACAGACACAGAGAGGGAGAAAGAGAGAGAGAGAGAGCACAAGCAGGGGGAGAGGCAGAGGGAGAGGGAGAAGAAGACUCCUUGCUGAGCGGGUGGCCCGACGUGGGGCUCUGAUCUCAGGACCCGGGGAUCACAUCCCAAGCCAAAAGCAGACACAUAACCAAAUGAGCCACCCAGGUGCCCGAGAAUAUUAAUCAUUUAAUAGGUUAUAAGAUUAAUUUAUUGAUCAUGACAAAGUGCAUCGCCAGCAGGACCCACCUCAUGGUGCCAGCUGAGUCCUGAAACUAUCUAAUGGGGAGCAUUAGCGUGUCAGGGAAGAUUUCUAGACAUUCUACAAAGUAGAGCUUAGAGGUAGAGUUAGUUUUGGAACUGCUGGGUGCUUCCCCUUCUCUCAGGGACACACAAGGUAAUGCAGCUAUGAAGGGCUCUGAGAAGUCCUGUAUCAAUGCUGCCCAACAGAAAUGCAACGGGCAACACGAAUGCCAUCUAGGGUUUUUUCACAAUUUUGUAGGAAGGCCACCACAUGCAGGGCAACCUAUGGCAUCAAAAUACCUUCUCGACCACCAACGCCUCCUUGUACUGCCCUCUGCUCCUUAAGGAUCCACGGUUUUGCCAAGAAACAUGGUGACCUCAAGCUCCCCAUAUUUCAGGGUCCACAGGGGGUGGAUCUUGGUCCUCGCAGUUCUCCUUAGGGUGGUUGUGAGCUGCACUGGUGACACCACACCUCUGUUCAUGGACUGCUUCAUGUUUUAUUUUCCCUGGCAAAUAAGCCCUCAAGGGGAUCCGCGGACAGUGAGGUAAGGGUGGGUGUUCCAUGUGGACGAUGAAGAGGGGCAGGUGUCCUGCGUGGAUGGUGAAGUGGGGGCACCCAGGGACAAGUGGGGCGGGUGUUCUGCGUGGAUGGUGAGGUGGGGGCGGGUGUCCUGCAUGGAUGGUGAGAUGGGGUCAGGUGUUCCAUGUAGACAGCGAAGAGGGGCAGGUACCCCACAUGGAUGGUGAGGUGGGGGCGGGUGUCCCACGUGGAUGGUGAGGUGGGGUCAGGUGUUCCAUGUAGAUGGUGAAGAGGGGCAGGUAUCCCAUGUGGACGGUAAGGUGGGGGCACCCGCGGACAAGCAGGACAGGUGUUUCGCAUGGAUGACCAUCAGGUGCUGCCUGGGGUGCAGAUCCGCUCCCUCCCCGGUAGCUGGGCCUGCAAGUGCGGAGGAGGCGGGAGGUGUGCACCAAUGGUCUCUGGGGUCUGGAUUCUAUUGGCGAGACGUCCCCAAAGCAAUGGGCCACUCUUUAAGUAGAAUGAAGCCAGAGUAAGUUAAGAACAAGCAGGGAGAGCCCACUUCACGGACCCAGAGACCUCAGCUCCGCCAAGAGCUGCUGGAACUCUGUGAUGGAACUCUCUGGAAAUCAUCUGAAGCUUCUUGAGAACUGCUCUUGGACCUAGAGGCGACACAAGGAGGCUGCCAAACCAGCAGAAAGGAGGCCAGCGGCUGAGGCAGGGGUUUCAGCACAGACACACACUCCCAGGAGGCGGAGGGCAUAUCCCAAAGACUGUAACUCAGAGCUGCUAAGGAUCCUGCUUCAGUCAUUUUCUGCUUAAAGAUGCGUUUUGACCUUUUCCAAAUCCAAAUAGAUGCUGCUUGUUUGAAGGUCGCUCCCACGCAUAAGCUGCUGAAAACUAGAUUUAUCGGACGAACUCUGAGCUUCCUAAGCCCAGCAGGAAAGGCGAUGCCGUUAUUAAUUGAGCAAGUGAUCUAUUUCACGUGGCACCAGGCGUGCACGCGCAGAGCGCAUACGUUACACAACACAGCUUCAGCA